rnacentral:misc_RNA from 1 species
AACUUUUAGCAACGGAUCUCUUCGCUCUCGCAUCGAUGAAGAACGCAGCGAAAUGCGAUAAGUAAUGUGAAUUGCAGAAUUCAGUGAAUCAUCGAAUCUUUGAACGCACCUUGCGCUCCUUGGUAUUCCGAGGAGCAUGCCUGUUUGAGUGUCAUGAAAUUCUCAACCUUCCAACUUUUAUUAGCUUGGAUAGGCUUGGAUGUGGGGGUUGCAGGCUUCAUCAAUGAGGUCAGCGUUUCUUAUAUGCAUUGGCGGAACUUUUUUGGACCGUCUAUUGGUGUGAUAAUUAUCUAGGGCGUGGAUGAGAAAAAGCUUUAACAAGCUCAGCUUCUAAACGCCCAUUGACUUGGACAAUUUUGACAAUUUGACCUCAAAUUAGGUAGGACUACCCGCUGAGCUUAAGCAUAUCAACAAGCGGAGGUU